rnacentral:misc_RNA from 1 species
GUAGGUGAACCUGCGGAAGGAUCAUUAUUGAACGAACGUGAGCAGGGUUGUCGCUGGCCUCUGUCAUAGGGGGCAUGUGCACGCCUUGUUCAUUUCCACCUUCACACCUCUGUGCACUUCUCAUGGGUUGGGUUGCGCUGUUGCAUUGUGCAAUGGCAAAGCCUGUCUCAUGUGUUUUAUUAUACACACUUGUUUGUCAUAGAAUGUCACGCGUGCAUGAAUGCAUAUAAUACAACUUUCAGCAACGGAUCUCUUGGCUCUC